rnacentral:rRNA from 1 species
UGGGGAAUUUUGGACAAUGGGCGAAAGCCUGAUCCAGCAAUGCCGCGUGUGUGAAGAAGGCCUUCGGGUUGUAAAGCACUUUUGUCCGGAAAGAAAUCCUUGGCUCUAAUACAGUCGGGGGAUGACGGUACCGGAAGAAUAAGCACCGGCUAACUACGUGCCAGCAGCCGCGGUAAUACGUAGGGUGCAAGCGUUAAUCGGAAUUACUGGGCGUAAAGCGUGCGCAGGCGGUUUGCUAAGACCGAUGUGAAAUCCCCGGGCUCAACCUGGGAACUGCAUUGGUGACUGGCAGGCUAGAGUAUGGCAGAGGGGGGUAGAAUUCCACGUGUAGCAGUGAAAUGCGUAGAGAUGUGGAGGAAUACCGAUGGCGAAGGCAGCCCCCUGGGCCAAAUACUGACGCUCAUGCACGAAAGCGUGGGGGAGCAAAACAGGAUUAGAUACCCUGGUAGUCCACGCCCUAAACGAUGUCAACUAGUUGUUGGGGAUUCAUUUCCUUAGUAACGUAGCUAACGCGUGAAGUUGACCGCCU